AUGGGCUUCUGUUCUGCCAAUAGCGUCGCUCGCUCGGUGGCAUCGUGGAAUGACCAGCUGUCUGCCUGCCAGUCCAGAUCCCUAACUCUGUCACCCUACCCUCAUCUCAGGCCUCAUGACAGCGACCCAGUUCUCACAGACGCCCAGCCCUCACCGCGGCCCGCUGCCACACCUUACCCGGAUGUCCGACCCCAGACCCCUCCUCUGUCUGUGCUCCUCGACCGAGAACUCCAAGAGGCCUUCCAGGAAUGUGAAGAGCAAAUGGCCUCACUGGGCAUACCUAAUUCCACCACGCCUGAGACGUUUAAUAAUGUAGGAGAGAAAACCAGAGAGGUGAUGGUUAAUAAGUCCAGUGAGUCAUCAUCACUGCCUCCAAUCGUAGCCCAGCCAGGACAUAGCAACGGGGGCCAUGGAAACAAGAAUACACACGGAAACAGUGAGGCAGCAGACACUCAGAAGGAUACAGUUGUGUUUAGUUUUAGGAAUUACAUACUGGGCACUGGGAAUAGUGCUGGGUUAGCAGAGAGUGACAUUAAGGCACCACAGAGCCUCGAUAAACGUCCAGAGAUGAAGCCAGAAAAAGAAUCAGAGACAGAUAAGCAGAAGGAGACACCCACGUAUACACAAUUAGAAACAACAACAGAUUCAUUUAAAGAAGCACAAAAGGUUGCCGCAUUCACUGAGCAGAGAGACGAUCAUGUUGGUUCUGAUGCAGCUACUGUGGGAAGUGGCUCUCUAGACUGUAAUACAGUGAUUAAGGAGGAAGGCACAGAGGCAAUAACAGAGACUGUAGACAUAAAGCAAGAAAAUUAUAGUCAUGAGUCCAGUGUUAAUGUUUGCAAAGCUGAAACUCAUGAAACACCGGAGAGCAUUCAUCUUCAUUUAAAGGAUAAAGAUGCAUUAUCAGAGACGGAGACGGGAGCAAACAAUCACACUGAGGACGACCAGGAGAGGAAAACAGACAAAUGGAUGAAGCCACCGAGUGACAAAGGGGCUGAGCAGGACAAAAAGGCAAAGAAGAAAGAAAAAAAGAGACAGAGAAAAAAGAAAAAGAUGGAGAAGAAUGCAGAGACUGAACCGAGAGAGAAGACAGCGGUGCGAGCUGAAAGUGAUUCAGAGGCUGCGUCUCUCAUAAAAGCAGGAAAUCAGACUGAUUCAAAUGCAAAUACUGACAAAUCAAUGUCACAGGCAGACACGCAGGCUGUGAUUUGUAGGGAACAGUCUGAUAAUGGGUUCGGCUUCCAGCAACAGCUGACUCCUGGGGGAAAGCCCAGCUCCAGCGCCCCGCUAUCAUCCUUUCAGAGCAGGCAGGAUCAUCUUACCGACUCGGCCUGUUCACCUGCGUCCGUCCAGGCUCUUCCUCAGAGGCCUCAUCAGUCAGAAAACCGCAACCAUACAGAGGCCCCAUGUGGCAUGAAUCAAUGUUCAGAUGAAACCCCGCAGCGGGAGCAUCAUGCUACCGGACGUGUCAUCAACGACCAAAAUACACCCGUGACACAUGUCCAAACCACAGUUAUCAAUCAAGAUGCUGCCGCUGAUAAGAGGUCGGAUGCACAAACACAGGAGGCUAUAGUUACCUCAGAGGCAGCGAUACUCGCACAGGAGAACCGUAGCCCACUCUCCAGGAGCCGAACUUGUGUGGGAGAGAGUGGCGUGGAGAGUGCCCUUGAAGAGGCUUUACUGGUAGUUGCUGCGUUGCCACUGACAACACCCACGUUGCCAGAAGUGAUAGAAAGCGAGGGAGAGGGAGAAAGCGUGAGGAGUGAUUCAUUGGAGAGAGUGGCUACUGUAGCCAUCGCAGAAGCAGUAGGAGAGGAAGGUUUGGGAGGAAUAGAAAAGUGCCUCAGCUCUGCAGUCGGAGAGAAAGAAGGGCUCCUGGACAGCCUUCCUCAGCUCUCAUUAAUCUGUUCACAGGCAAAAGGCUCACUUGCUUUCUCAGCCAAAGAGGGACAGGCUGCAUCUGAGGAGAGCUGCAGCAGCAAAAUGCCACACAACUCGGCCGAGACCGAUACGAAGGGACCGGGAGAGAGAACCAUUCGCAGUGCAGACACAGAGAUCUCACCAGCGGAAGAGGGAGCCAGAGAAAAGGAGCCACUCCGGUUAGAAGCGUAUAUCAAUACUUCUCCCCUUGGGCUACUCACUGGUCCUGAUUGUCAGGAUCACAGUGCUGCGGGAUCGGAGGGGGGAGGAGGAGGAGGAGGAGGAGAGGAGGUGGAAAAGAAAGGAGGGCUGGCUAACGACCACAGUUCAUUCAGCCAGCCAGAAGGCUCUGCUAGUGGGGUGUCAUCAGCUGAGACUGAGACGUGUCCGCCCACCGAUGUUGCCGAGUCACAGUUGAAGCCACAGAGCUGGAGUGAGCUGAUAGCUGCCGUCACUGAGAGCAUCUGCACUGAAAAGGACCGUCUCUCUCACCCAUGCCAGGAGCAGCAUGGCGCAGCAAUUUCGCCUCUCCCCACUUACCCUGAACAGAGCUCCAGCAGUGCAAACAGAGGGGUAAGGGCUGAUCUCAAUCCGAAUUUGAUUUCAGGGGAAGAAUCUUCUGGACACACUCGUGAGGAGUCAUCCAUCACAGAGUCAGCACACUCCAGCCAAGUCUUCCUGUCUUCAGUGUCACCUCAGACUUCUUUACAACAAAUCCCAGUCGAGCAACAAGCGAGCAACUAUCAACAGGUUCAUCCUGAAAGUAGCAAAAAAGAAGCCAGGACAGCCGAGAGUGCGUCUGAACUCAAAGUCCAGACCCAGAGCAGUAGAGGUAGCCCUGCUAUGUCUGGAUCUGGUGGAUGUGACAGCAGUAGACGCAACAACAGAGUUCACUUUGCGGACGAACAAAAGGGGAGCUCCUCCUUGGAUCUCAGGAACAUGACGGCGAUGGACUGCGCCUCUUUGCCGCCGCUGACUGUACAUGAGAGUUUGCAUCACCCUGUUGUCGAGGCCUGCUACACCUUCCCGGACUUCCUCGGCUUGAAGAAGCCAGAAAUCUCCUCAGAUGCAGCUCCUGCAAAAGACGAAGCAGCAAUAUCGAGCCCAGCUGUCUUAACAGAUCCUAAGAAAGAUGUCCAAGUGAUUGAAGGAGAUAAAGGGACUAAAGAUACCAAGGAAAACAUUGAGAAAAGUCAGUCAGGUAACGAAAACUUGGAGACAAACACUGUGGACAACAAGGCCUCCUCAAAUCAACUUCCGUGUCCUAAUGAGAAGGAUCAGACUGAUAAUAAAGGAGGUUUUGUCCUUUCACAAACAGCAGGAAGUGCCAUCUCUGAGGCGGAUCAUCUAUCAGUUGAAGAGGUGGAAACAGAGAAGGGCAUUGUAAAUCUAUGUCUGUCAAAAGAGAAAGAGAUAGAUAAGUUACCUUUAAUAGGGGAUGCUACUGUCAUUCUUGAAGGAAAAGAAGGUAACCAACUUCUCUCCUCAUAUUCUUCUGUGCUUCCAGCUAAAGAUGUUACCCGCAAGCCUUCAAAUGAUGAGUCACCUGUUGGGCAGCUCUCAACUGACCUUGACCCCAGUCUGACCUGCACAGCCUCUCUUCAGACAAAUCCUAGUGACCCUGAUUAUCUAUCUCCUAGCCAGUUAGAUCAAACACCUCCUUGUGGACAAGUUACCGCAGAUCCCGUGACAGCCGAUGAGGGGUCCACAGCUCACUCCGCCCAUUUGACAAAGGAAGGAACAGCCUCCGACCAGUCGAUUCCUGUUACCGAGCAGUGUGCUAGUAAUCCCACUCUUGUGCUGAUGCCUCCUGGCCCAAUGUUGAGUCACUUGGAGUUCAUUACUGACUGUGAUGUCUCUCUUCCUGAGCGGGCAGAAAACCAUGGUGCUGAUGGUGACAUCACCAAAGUCUCCGGAGACGUGGAUGCCAACGAAAACAGGGGCGUGUCUUUUGCACAGGACCUGAAACAGGAAGAUGUCAGCGCUGAAGCAGAUAAGACUUGUCCUAAACUUGAGGAUAGAAAUUUUGUGAUUAAUAAUGUAAAUAUUCCACUUUCAAAAGAGGAAAAUCUCUCCCUUCCAGCUCAGCCUCCUGAUACAAAGGCUGGAUCUGAUGAUGUAUUUUCGCUAUCUCACACUGAUCCAGACUCCACUGCCAUUAAACCUGUUAUUUGUGAAGGAUCCAUUAAGGAUGACCUCAUUAAUGUCAGCUGCCCACUCAGCCCUGACCUGCCUACCAACGAGGCUCUUGAUGAGAUUGAACAAGACAAUGUCAAAGAGAAACACAGAAUGGGAGAUCGGACCUCCGUGUUGUUUGAUGAAUUGAGAAAUGAUAAUCAAAAGGAAACAGCAGACAGCAGCAAGCAGCAGACAGGAAAGACAACAUCACAAGAGAGUCAUGGGCCUGAUAAAGAGACUGUAGAGGAAAUUAAAGACGUGCAGCCACCUCAUAAACCUCAUAAAGUACACAAAUCUGAAUCAACAAUGAAGGAUAUAAAGGAGGAAGGAGAAAGUCAGAGAGAGAUGUCUUCCUUAUCUCCUGACAGACCCACAGGGUCAUCGGAGGACAUGAUGAGUGCUGAGGUAGAGUCUGGUAGUGAACCUCAGACUGUUUAUGACGCGAGUUUGUGCCAAGCUCCAACAGCAACACUGGAACCCAGCUCUGACAGGGACCCGGCACCACAUUUGAGUGUGGCUCUCAGCCAAUCGCAGUCCACACCAGAUCCAAACGGUUUUGCUCGGCAACAGGAGCAACAGCAGCAGCGUCUGGAAUCCAGACAUCCCACUGAGGAAAUGUCAGGUGGCUGUCUAGAGGGAGGAGGAAAGGCUGACAGUCAGGUCAGGCGGGUCCAGGCGCUGGUUCCAGUGAUAAAAGGGGUAGCAGAGGGAGGAGACGGCUCUGUUGGGAGUUUGUGUCAGUCAGGAAGCAGGGAUGACAUGACUGGUGAUGACAGCAGUGGCAAUGAACGAGUGAUAGGUCUAGAGAAAGGCGAGGGAGCGCGAGAUGCGCCGGGGCAUGACAGGGUUUAUGUGCCGUCUGACCUUGCCGGUGAUUUAAAUUUGAGUGGAAGGGCUGCUGAGAGAAAUGCCUCUGCUGACGUGGGGAUAAUAACACGUUGCUCUCAUGUAGGUGAGACAAGACAGGGGAUGGAUGAGAAUAAAAGCCCCGGGUUAGAGCCAGUUGGGUCAGCUACAGAUGUAACGCCAGGCAUCAAGUUUGUGAGUGAUCUGGGCGGUAAAGGUCAGCAAAAAAGUGAUCUAUCAGCUGCCUGUCAAGACAAACCUGAGAACAGUGCUGUCUCUGUUGAGACUGCAUCACAAGAACGUGAGACUCCAUCAAAGGUCAGCACAGAUAAUCAUGACAUUCAUACAGACGUUUUUCAAAGAGCAAACCAGGCUGAGGAAAUUCAUACAAAAGUAUACGACACUCUGCCAGAUCCUGCUGGGCAACCAGAAACUGUGGAAAAGGAUUUCAGUGCUGCCAUGACUCUUAAACGCAACAGUAGUGAAACUGAGGAGUGUGAAAUUCGGGAUACAGUGCGCGAGCCUCUUGAGCCACGAAGCUCCAGCAUAACCUCUGCCUCACAAAGCAGCUCAGUAGCACAAAGACCCAUAAAAGGCCCUGAUGUAGAGGAGAUCACAAAGGAAGAUAAAGCAGCUAUAGACAGAGAGAAAGCCAGCAGCCAGGGGAAGGGACAAAAUGAAAUAAAAGGGGUAAACAAUGAGGCGAGGGAAAAACAAGAGGUUGUAAAUCUAACAGGGUCUGCUAAAGACGGUUGCCUGGGAUCAAUUAUAGUUUCAGACCUCUGCGAAAGAGACACUGGGACUACUGUUUGUCAUUCUGAUGGGAAGAUUGGUCCCUCUAAGGCAGCAGAAAAUGACACAACAGAUAAAAUCUACUCCUGA
rnacentral:lncRNA from 1 species